ensembl:lncRNA
CGUUCUUUUAGAGCAGAGCUACAGAUUAAAAAUGCCCAAGGCGAAGCGGUCAAAAGUCUGGCUGUACUUCACAGCAAAAGAUGCAAACUCAGCAGCCUGCAACAAGUGCUUUAAGGUGAUACUGUGCAAAGGAGGUAACACCUCGAAUCUGAUGAAACACCUGGCGACGCAUAGCGUUUUUUUAAAAGCCGAGAAAUGCACCGUAUUUGAUAGCUUGCUGCAAGAUCUCACACCGAGCACAUCUACUGCGGGUGUGGUGCCUGUUAUCGGACCUGGAGUUAGCAACAUCACCCAAGAACCCGAAGAGUAGAGUCCUGGCCCCUAGCCCUGCCAGUGUAGCAGAAAUGAUGACGGAUGAUGAUGGCAGCAGCAGUCGUUCUUCUCUGGGUUUAGUAGCUUAAUCACCGGUUCGAGCACCGUUUAAGCACCAGCACCGUAUCAAAAGUACCAGGUUGGCACCGGUAUCGGAUAAAACCUAAACAAUAAACAUCCCUAGUUACAGCUAGCUUCUAGCUACUUCAUCUGGAAUUCCGGUCACACAAACCUACAAGGCAUGUGCAUCUUCCUCCAUGUGUCCAGCUGCAACCUCAGACAUUUUCAGUUGAUCUGGGUUUUCAAAGUGC